rnacentral:rRNA from 1 species
CAGCCGUAAACUAUGCGCGUUAGGUGUACUGGUGACCACGAGUCACCGGGGUGCCGAAGGGAAACCGUGAAACGUGCCGCCUGGGAAGUACGGUCGCAAGGCUGAAACUUAAAGGAAUUGGCGGGGGAGCACCACAACGGGUGGAACCUGCGGUUUAAUUGGACUCAACGCCGGGAAGCUCACCGGAUAGGACAGCAGAAUGAUUGCCGGGCUGAAGACCCUGCAUGACUAGCUGAGAGGAGGUGCAUGGCGUCAGUGACU